UUUGGCUUCCGAGUACACCGGCGAACGGGUGAGUAACGCGUAGACAACCUGCCCAUACCUCCGGGAUAACCACUCUAACGGGUGGCUAAGAACGGAUGGCGCAUUGAGUGGGCAUCCACUCGAUGUGAAAGCUGCGGAAGCAGCGGGUAUGGAGGGGUCUGCGUCCCAUUAGGUAGUUGGUGAGGUAACGGCUCACCAAGCCGAUGAUGGGUAGCUGGCCUGAGAGGGUGGUCAGCCACACUGGGACUGAGACACGGCCCAGACUCCUACGGGAGGCAGCAGUGGGGAAUCUUCGGCAAUGGGCGGAAGCCUGACCGAGCGACGCCGCGUGCGGGAAGAAGCCCUUAGGGGUGUAAACCGCUGUAGCCGGGGAAGAAAGGCACCCGAAGGGGUGUAGAGGACAGUACCCGGAAAGUAAGCGCCGGCUAACUACGUGCCAGCAGCCGCGGUA
rnacentral:rRNA from 1 species